rnacentral:rRNA from 1 species
AACGAACGCUGGCGGCAUGCCUAACACAUGCAAGUCGAACGAGACCUUCGUGUCUAGUGGCGCACGGGUUCGUAACGCGUGGUAACCUGCCCUUAGGUUCGGAAUAACUCCCCUAAAGGUGUUCUAAUACCGGAUAAUGUCUUCUGACCAAAGAUUUAUCGCCUUUGUAUGGGCCCGCGUUGGAUUAGCUUGUUGGUAGGGUAAAAGCCUACCAAGGCGACGAUCCAUAGCUGGUCUGAGAGGAUGAUCAGCCACACUGGGACUGAGACACGGCCCAGACUACUACGGGAGGAAGCAGUGGGGAAUAUUGGAAAAUGGGCGAAAGCCUGAUACAGCAAUGACGCGUGAGUGAUGAAGGCCUUAGGGUUGUAAAGCUAUUUUAACCGGGAUGAUAAUGACAGUAACGGGAGAAUAAGCACCGGCUAACUCCGUG